rnacentral:rRNA from 1 species
UACGAAGGGGGCUAGCGUUGUUCGGAUUUACUGGGCGUAAAGGGCGCGUAGGCGGCGCACCAAGUCAGGCGUGAAAGCCCUGGGCUCAACCCGGGAAUUGCGCUUGAGACUGGUGUGCUUGAGUACGGGAGAGGAUAGUGGAAUUCCCAGUGUAGAGGUGAAAUUCGUAGAUAUUGGGAAGAACACCGGUGGCGAAGGCGGCUAUCUGGACCGUAACUGACGCUGAUGCACGAAAGCUGGGGGAGCAAACAGG